UUAAACACGAUGAUGGAAAAAAGACGUUGCUUUGUCUUACAGAGAGCCGAUGGAUGGUGCAAAUCGGUGGCAGGCAGAUGAUCUUGAGCGCUCCUGAGUUAUUGCAUUGAAAUUGGAGUAGGUGCAAUCGGUUUAGACCCGUUAUCCUCUUCGGUCUUCAUUGACCGCUAAGACUGUCGUUGCGAAACGGCGGUGAAUUAGGGUGGUACCACGACAACUCUCGUCCCUUAU
rnacentral:ncRNA from 1 species